AUGCCGUCGUCUCAGGUUCCGAAGUUUUCAUCUCUGCCCGAUGAGUUGAGGGAUGGCCGUGGUGUUGAGGGUGCUGCGUUGGAGCGCACUGAGCAUAUCUUAAGUAAUGUGUGUUCUGAGCUGCAAAAGGUCCCAACGACAAUUGAGCGUCUGAGCUGUAUCAAUGGUAUCCUUCCUGAAGGUCAUCAAUUUAAUGCUGAGGAAGAUGUUGACUACAUUGAGAUGGAGAGAAUUUUCAUCGGUGAUAUGUGUGGCGGUGCUGCUGAUCUAGUUCAGAGCUCGGUUCGUCUGUUGAACAACGUGAAGCGUUUCAGAACUAUGCAAAACUCUCGCUGCAAGCCAUAUGAAGAAAGUGCAAAUGUUGUUAUCAAGCAGGUUGAGCAAGAUGAGGCUGCUGCCACCGACAUUAGGGCUGGUGAUGGUACUGAGGCUAAUGUUUCUGAUCACGAAAUGAAUGAUGUUGGCUUGGAGCGUCCUGAUGUUGAUAUUGAUGAGGAUGAGGCUGCUGACACUGACAGCAGGGCUGAUGAUGGUACUGAGGCUAAUGUUUCUGAUCAGCAUACGAACGAUGUUGGCUUGCAGCACCCUGUUGUUGAUGAGACCAGUCAUAAUGUUGAGGCUGCUAUUGACCAUGGAGUUAAUGAUCCAUCCACUAAUAAGUGCAAGGGUCCUCUUGUUGGCGAUGAGCCUUUUUUGCCCGUUGGUGAUGUUGCUUUGAAUGUUAGCAGCAGCAAGAUCGACGAUGUUGCUGUGAAUGCUUCUAAGAUUACUGGUGUUGAGCGUGAGGUUGUCCUUAGUGGUGGAGAUGAUGCUCGUGGUGUUCCAUUGAGUAGUGGGCGCAAUGUUGGUAACAAAGUUGCUAAUGAGGAUGCUGGUGCUGCUAGCAUACUUGAUGCCAAAUCGCCUGGUGUUGGUAUUGCUGGGAAUGAAAAUGUUCCUAAUUGUGAAGAUUUUCCGCCGGAGAAUUUCCCGCCUGGAGGUCUUGAUUACGGUGAUGCACUGCAAGAUACUUCUAGCAUGGAGGAGGUGCCAUCCGAGGAUGAUGAUUUACUUCUGUCAAUUUCUUCUGAACCCUCGACGCAGGAGGCGCUCUUGUCGUCCCAGGAUUUUCUUUCUAUAGACCCUGAAAGCGCAACAAUAUUGUUGUCCUCUCAAGAUGUCCCAUCGUCAAACCCUGAAACUGGAGGCAUAAUGGUCUCAUCACAGGAACUACCGUCGUCGUCAAACCCUGAUAGUCCAGAAAGUGGUAAUGUUGUUAAGGUUGAUACGUUUUUCUUCGCUGUUACGAGGUUGCGCACGAACCGUACGAAAUGUCACAAGACGAUGUUUCAAAAUAAAGAAUGUGAUGCCAGUGUUGGUUCUAUUGCUAAAGCAUUUGUCCCCACUGGCAUGCUCAACUCAGAUAGUGCUGACGUUGUUUUAUAUUCUCUAUGUCAAAAGUACUGA
rnacentral:rRNA from 1 species